GGAUAGCGCGAUGAACUGGUCUCGCCGUGCUGAAAGGAAGUCUGCACCAGAACGAUACAAGCCUCAUAUCUCGGUGGUAAAACGUCGCACACAGAAUACUUAUUCCCGGCCAAAAGCACGAAAAUUUACUGAAAGAGAGAACUGAUCUAGCAGGAAUACCACUUCAUCCACUGUAUAGUUGGGUUGCACAAGGCCUGCUGCAAAUCCUUCCAUGCAAACAAUGCAGCAUGAAAACAGAGUGCAUUUAUUCAACUGCGAAGUCCGCUGCUCUUUGUGUAAAGUAUAACGAGAAAGCGAUGUGUUCAGCAUUCACAAUGCUUAUGUUAUGCAAAGCCUCCAAGGGAUGUGGCCAAAGGACGACUUGAGGAAUCUGUGCACUCAAUCGGCACAGUCUUCAGAGCAAAGUUCACCUUUAAUGAAGAUAUAAGUGUGAGAAACUGAAGC